rnacentral:lncRNA from 1 species
CCCCUGCUCGAUUUCUAUUUUUGCUUUUGCCCCCCCCCCCCGCCCCCCACAUCACUUUUCUAAUGGUCUGCCCCCAAUGGUUGAAAGGCCCAUCAUUGACCCCCAUGUGAUCAUAGUCAAGGUUAUGUUUCGAUACAGACAUAAUAGACCUCAUACAUGAUCUAUGUUUUUGUCUUGGUUUUUGCAAAAAAUGGUUCCCUCAUUGUCACAUGUGUAUUAGAGAGUUUAAGUUCGAAUUCCAAUACCGAUACCAACAACAUGUCAUGCGCAUGCUCUCUGCUCACAAGAAGCACAAGGACAAGUAUAUCGGCCUUGUAUUGGAAGUCGUGGGAAAUUAAUGUAAGGUAAACUCAAAUAAAUUGGAUAUUUCAUAAUUUUUACGAUAAACACGUACACAUAAACUAUUUGUUUAUUGGCAUCGCCUGAGUCAUGUUUUAGUCGGAAUUUUAGCUCAGCCGUCGCACAUUUUCGGUGACGAUUAAUGUGUUCUAUACUUUAUCAGUUGUGAUAGCUUAACGCUUUAUGAGAACGGAAGUGAAGGUAUCGGUAUCGGAAGUCGAACUUAAACUCUCUAUUGUUUUCUUGGGGUAUAACUUAAGGGAGAGUUACCAACCGGCGAGUUAUGAUUUCGGGGAGUUAUAUUCAAACCACGCCCACUUUUCUCAACAACCACACCCAAUUUUUUAACUCUCCCG